AUACGGAGGGUGCAAGCGUUAAUCGGAAUUACUGGGCGUAAAGCGCGCGUAGGCGGCUUUGUAAGUCGGAUGUGAAAGCCCUGGGCUCAACCUGGGAAUUGCAUUCGAUACUGCAUGGCUAGAGUAUGGUAGAGGGUAGUGGAAUUCCUGGUGUAGCGGUGAAAUGCGUAGAUAUCAGGAGGAACAUCAGUGGCGAAGGCGGCUACCUGGACCAAUACUGACGCUGAGGUGCGAAAGCGUGGGGAGCAAACAGGAUUAGAAACCCCGGUAGUCC
rnacentral:rRNA from 1 species